rnacentral:tRNA from 1 species
GGAGGCGUGGCUGAGCGGUCGAAAGCAGCAACCUGCUAAGUUGUUGACCGGGAAACCGGUCCGAAGGUUCGAAUCCUUCCGCCUCCG